AUUGAACGCUGGCGGCAUGCCUUACACAUGCAAGUCGAACGGCAGCACGGGUGCUUGCACCUGGUGGCGAGUGGCGAACGGGUGAGUAAUACAUCGGAACAUGUCCUGUAGUGGGGGAUAGCCCGGCGAAAGCCGGAUUAAUACCGCAUACGAUCUACGGAUGAAAGCGGGGGACCUUCGGGCCUCGCGCUUUAGGGUUGGCCGAUGGCUGAUUAGCUAGUUGGUGGGGUAAAGGCCUACCAAGGCGACGAUCAGCAGCUGGUCUGAGAGGACGACCAGCCACACUGGGACUGAGACACGGCCCAGACUCCUACGGGAGGCAGCAGUGGGGAAUUUUGGACAAUGGGCGAAAGCCUGAUCCAGCAAUGCCGCGUGUGUGAAGAAGGCCUUCGGGUUGUAAAGCACUUUUGUCCGGAAAGAAAUCCUUGGCCCUAAUACGGUCGGGGGAUGACGGUACCGGAAGAAUAAGCACCGGCUAACUACGUG
rnacentral:rRNA from 1 species